AGGUUAUUGACAAAGUGCUGGUUGCGGAGAGAACAGCUAGAUCGUAAAGACGCCGUAAAUCCUUCCCUGGAGGCUCGAGCCGCGCCAUCCCUGGCGCGGACGCUUU
rnacentral:ncRNA from 1 species